rnacentral:rRNA from 1 species
AACUCUCAACAACGGAUAUCUUGGCUCCCGUAUCGAUGAAGAACGCAGCGAAAUGCGAUACGUAGUGUGAAUUGCAGAAUUUCGUGAACCAUCGAAUCUUUGAACGCAGCUUGCGCCCGAACCUUUUGGCCAGGGCAUGUCUGCCUCAGCGU